UUUGACUAUCAAGAAUCAUAUUUAAUUUGGUAGAACUAAGUGUAAACUUAUCUACUAAGAAUUUAUAUUUUUCAGCAUCUUCUUUUAACUUGACAUUUUCAGCAAUUAGAUUCUUGGUUUCAUUUGUGAGUUUCCUACUUAAUGUUUCAUAGUUAUGAGAUAGUUUUAACUUAUCUUUAUGAGAUAGUUUUAACUUAUCUUUGAUAAGAGAUUGAUUUUCUUCUUUUAGAACUUUAUUUUUAUUGAUUAGUUUUUUAUGUUCUUCCAUAAGUUCUAAAAAUGCAUCAUGUAAUUCAUCAACAGUAAAAUCACAUUCAAGUUCAGAAUCUACCUCAUCGUCAUUGGCCAUAU
rnacentral:lncRNA from 1 species